UACGGGGGGGCGGAAGCGUUGUUCGGAAUUACUGGGCGUAAAGCGCGUGUAGGCGGGUCUUUAAGUCAGGGGUGAAAUGCCAAGGCUCAACCUUGGAACUGCCUUUGAUACUGGAGAUCUUGAGUCCGGGAGAGGUGAGUGGAACUGCGAGUGUAGAGGUGAAAUUCGUAGAUAUUCGCAAGAACACCAGUGGCGAAGGCGGCUCACUGGGACGGUACUGACGCUGAGACGCGAAAGCGUGGGGAGCGAACAGG
rnacentral:rRNA from 1 species